UACGGGGGGGGCAAGCGUUGUUCGGAAUUACUGGGCGUAAAGGGCUCGUAGGCGGCCAACUAAGUCGGAUGUGAAAUCCCCAGGCUUAACCUGGGAACUGCAUCCGAUACUGGAUGGCUUGAAUCCGGGAGAGGGAUGCAGAAUUCCAGGUGUAGCGGUGAAAUGCGUAGAUAUCUGGAGGAAUACCGGUGGCGAAGGCGGCAUCCUGGACCGGCAUUGACGCUGAGGAGCGAAAGCUAGGGGAGCAAACGGGAUUAGAUACCCCGGUAGUCCUAGCCCUAAACGAUGAAUGCUUGGUGUGACGGGUAUCGAUCCCUGUCGUGCCGAAGCUAACGCAUUAAGCAUUCCGCCUGGGGAGUACGGUCGCAAGGCUG
rnacentral:rRNA from 1 species